AGGUGGAAGGCCAAGAUGAUUACUUCCUGGCUUUUGAGAAGCUUGGGACGAGUUUGGAGGAUUUUGUCAAUGAACAUAAAAAAUUGUUUUGUAAUAAUAGACAUCUGAUUUCCAGUCUAUAUCAGAAUAUUCUUAUUGAUUUAAUCCGAUUAUGUCAGCAUCUAAAGACAGUGGAAGUGAAACCUCUAUUGAGCUUGACAAACAUUUUUGUCUUGCGCAAUAGCAAUGACAAUGAUUCUCUGCAUCUUACCGUAGUAGAUUUUGAUUUUAGAGAUGGUCCCAACAUGGAUUGUGUUCUGUUGGCAAUGCUAGUUGAGCAAAUUAAUGACGCUUGUGACUAUGAACCGUGUGGAAGUCUAGAAAUGCACACAUUCGUGGGUUGUUUGAAGACGGCUUACGAGAAUUUCUUUGCCG